ensembl:lncRNA
CGACGGAGCACGCUGACAGCCCCGUGGUGCCACAGGCUGCCACUUGCUUUGCCAGUCCAUUAUAAAGUACCCAUCUCAGGACUGGCACACAAUAGCUACUGUCACAUCGUCACCUGAGUGCCUCGCCUCUAGCAGACAAUGGCCGCGCCGCUGUUGCUCGGGUGGGAAUGUGGGUGUUCUCGCAUGUUUGGAAAGAUAACGGAGUGUAGCCUGGACCUUUUUCUCAGCCCACCGCGAUCCUCCUUCACCUCACUCCUCACUGAGCUCUCUGAUUUGUUGGAUCUUUCUUUGAAAAAUGCCAGAAAACCCUUGUUCAAAGAGGGAUUCACUUGGUUAUUUCUUGGACUGCAAGAUGUGCUAUUAUAAGCCGGCACGAAAGAGCAAAAAACCUGCAAGCUGAAACCUUACUCUGUAUGACAGAUGUCAAGCUGUUUGUGUUGAUAAAGCCUAUGAGGUUUCUCCCAUGUACAGCAGGGACAGUGACAGUGACCCUUGGACGAUGGUGAUUUAUCAUCAGGCUUCUCUGAUUCUCUGGGACUUCAGCAAGCUAUAGGCUCCGUCUACAGUGGUACAGUGUUAAAUACACAUUGGGUUAUGGUAUCAGUGUGGUAGGAAUAAACUGUGUUUCUUUAUUUAUUCAUCUUGAAACUGUAGUAGUGUUAGCCUUUUUUUUUUCUUCUUUUUCUUGUGACAAUUAUUAUCAUGUUAUCAAUCAGUAGUGAAGAUGUGUCUAGCUGGCUGCCAUCUUUUCCCCACUGAUUAAAGAAAUCUGUCAGUUUUAAGACUUCUUAUUUUGGUGAGUUGACUUACAAAAACCUCCACAUCUACAGACAGAUGACAAAUUUCCACUGGGCCAAACAUCCAAGGAUUUUGUGUUAGCCUGAAACAUUGGUAGAACUAUAAAGAAUCACAACCAAAAGUACAAACAGACCCAGACAAAUGUUACAAAUUCAUGCCGUUGUUCCCAGGCUGUUGAGCUCAUAUCCAUCUAAUUUUGUCCAAUAAUUGUUGCAGGUUGGAUGACUGCCGUUUCUGUAGGUUUACUAGGAUCCAUCUGUUCUCCGCCUGGUAUAGACUACGUUACUUUCUCUUCAUGUUAAAGAGAUGGGAGAAAAAGACAAAGAAAGAAAGACCACGGUUUCAGCCGCACAUUAGUGUGUCGUCACGGAAAAAUCAGCGAGAGUUGCACCUACACAGUUUCACUGCUCCAUCUGUGCUAUGCGAUACGGAGUUUGAGCAACGUUCCAGCAACCGAGGCCAUUUCAUUUCACCACACUGUUUAAUGUGCACAUCGGUGUGAAGUUUAGACCAAGCAUACCCAGGGAUGAAACAAGUUUUGGGCUUUUUUUAAUUUAAUUUACUUUGACUUGGAGGUGCAUUAUGUAAUGCCUGACUUUCUUUGACCUCUUCUGGGAACUAAUGGUACACGUAUCAACAUCAUUAGAAUUUACUUCUUCACCAGACAAGUUUCCAGUAAAGCCUCCCUCCUAACUCUGGGAGCGUAGCCUGCAAUUAACAUAAAUAAGUCACAUAAGAAAAAAGAAGUAAAUCUCCCAACAGAAAUGUUUAGAUCCGAUUUAUGCAAAUCUGGUGAAUAUUACUGAUUAAUUUCUCUUAUCAGGUUCUGACUUGGGCUGUGAGGUAAUAUUUAACCUGCUUACACUUGACUGUUCUGGUUGAAGUACAGCAGGGGCUCUUCUGACAGCCAGAUUCAGUUUGCUUUGCUGGGAGUGCUGGCUGACAAAACAAUUAAUGCUGCUGUGCCUUAGAGAUGCACAGCUGUCCAGCUGCCAGCCUCUCGUCCUGUCAUGACACUGUUGGAGCACGACAUACUGCAGCUCCUCACGUUUAGCUCUAUCGUUUAUACACCAGAUUCAUUAUUUAGCAAACAUUACACUGAAAAGCAUUUAAAAGCAUAUUGUAAAUGGUUAAUUAAUUAUGAGCUGCGAUAGGAGGAUGAUGCCUACAUGUUUUUAGUGAAGGGGAUCCUUUAGAGAAUCAAAAUAUGACAGAAAUAUAUCAACCUUAAUGCCAUUUUUUCUCACUAUGACACUGCAUACUGAAUCGUUUAAUAUUUCAGAGUCUUCAGAAUAUGCUAUGCAGUGUGCUUGGCCACACUAUAGAGCAAUGCAAUGACUAAGACCAUGUAGCAUUUGUCAAAGCUGGAUUUCUGCAUGUUAUAGUAAAUAUGGACAAUAUUUGAGUUUUGCCAGAGAUAAUAUGUGUGUAACUAAAGCAUGUUUAAACAGUUACCACAUGUUACCUAAAGCCUGAAAAAUCAAAUCACAUUGUGUGUUUCAGCACUGACAUCAGUAAGAUGACAUCUAUAAUAACAGAUCCAGGUUGUAAUUUAAUGUUUUGUUUUGCAUGGAUUACACUUUUGAUGUCCACAAGUUCAAUGUCAAUUGCCCAAAUACGUUGACAGAUUUGACGGGAUAGUGAUGCAGAAUUUUGUUAAGCGAAUGAAAAUUUACAUGUAUGACAUUAACAAUAAAUAUUUUGGUGAAAACCUUUGCUCUAAAGGAGAGCAAACAUCAGUCAGUUAAAAUAGUCUUUGACAAUGCCUGAAGAGAAACACUGUGAGGCUAAUUAUUAGGGCACUCAUUUACAUUUUUAAAUCCACUUACAAAAAUUAAUCUUUUGCUUCACAGAGCAAAUCAUUGUCAUUAAGGGAGCCUGGAACUUAAAUCAUCCCCAGUGAUCUAAGACUGCUCUGUUAAAACUGACCAAUUUGAAUUUAAAUGUACGUUUGUCAAAGACUAAAAACACAGACGUCAUUACCUCUCCACUUUCAAAGUGCUAUGGGUGCAGUCUGCAUGUUGUUCUUAGAAAACUCUGGCCGUUCAGUUAAUUUCCCAAAUGGCUUUAUCAGCAGCCAUAGAGCGAAGCUCCCUGGAGACAGAGGCUGCCAUUUUAAAUGGCAUUUGUUGUUCUCUUCAAUACGUAUUUAAGUUGUCAGCUCAAAAGCCUCUGUUUGAAAUCACAAAGCCGGGAAACUGAUGGAGAGAUAGAGACUGAACAAGUAAGAAUGAGCUUCAAAGCUGCCUUUUGUACAAUACUGAAGAUUUAUGCCCUUUGAAUUUAAAAAAAGAAAUAAAGUGGGAAUGGUGGCCUCCGCAUUUCAUUCUAUGUUUAGGUAAUGAAUCAUUUGCAUUGAGUAGUAAUUCUCUAGAAAAAUCUGCUUCUAUCAGUUUGUCAGUGUAAUGUUGCCGGAGUUUCUCGUGGCAACAAAACUUUAGCAUUAAACAGGCUCAUUAUCAAAAUUAUAAGACAAUGCACAACAGUUGGGUUUAUGCUUAUGUAGGUGAACUUUUAUGGUUGUGGCAAUUAGUGCAUGUAAAAGUUCCCUAACCUUUCAGAAGGCACACUGUAUAUUAUAUUUAGUGGAUCUCUUCAUACCGAAG